UCGGGGAGUAGGGAGCCCAGCUGGCCUGGGAGGUACCGUGGGGUCUCUGGGUCUCCCUGCCUCUGACCUGCAGGUGCUGCAGGUCCUCCAGCUCCUUCACCUUCUGCACCUGGGCUUCGUCAGCUGCAAAGAUUCGGAGCACCUGGUGCCUGGGCAAAGUGGGAUGAAAACUGAGCACCCCAGCCAGUUCCUACCCUGGCUGCCAACACUCCCCAGAGCAGGAAAGAGGCAGCCUGGGAUCCCCAGUGUGGGCCUGGGUCCUCUGGCCUGGAGUAGGAAGAGGCACCAAAGUCUCUGCCAUGGGAAGCCAGGCUCUCCCCAUCUUGGAAAAUUCUAGACUUAUUGCUGUCCCCAUCUAUUUAGAUUAUUUUUCUCUCUCCCAAACUGGCCAGGCCUCCUCUCUCUUCCUCUACUGCAAAUUCCUCCUCAUCUCCAAGGCUCAGACUGUCCUGAGAGACCUGGACCUCCGCCAGCCUGCCGCCCCAGGGUGGUGCUGGCCGUGCUCUCUGGCUGGUUCCUGCAUGUCUGUCUCCUCCAGACACUGGCUAGGCUUCUGCACCUGCUCCACUUGACGAAUGACAAAUACCAACAGAUGAGCCGAGCGGGACGGGCUGAGAGCUUUGUCUGUGUUUGCAGCCCACGCAGGGAAAGCAGUUCCCCUGCCAACGACCAGGUGGCUUUGCCCAAAUAUGGAGAAACACUUCAGGCCAUUAGUUCUGGUUCGAGCUAAGCAGAAUAAACUAAUCUUCCCCUGACCAAA